rnacentral:lncRNA from 1 species
GGGCCUGGUCGGCUCCAGCAGGUGCAUGGUCUUUCCCACGCGCACCUGCUGGCCUGCGCCUCGCGCGCCCUCUGCUGGUCAUAGCCGGUAAGUGCACUGAGGAAAGGGCCCGUCCGGGAAAUGUUAGUAAAUCAAUCCGAAUCUCGUUUCCACAGCUACCCAAACGGUUUGUAGGACGGUUACUUUCCUCAUUUUCAGUCUCCCAGAGCUAGGAGUUCACAUCCUAAGUCAAUCUGUGUCCUAGAAAGUACUUCAGAGAGCUCCGUUUCCUAGGAUCAGAUUUCCUCCCUUCCCUAAGAGCAGUGUUAUUUUAAUUAACGACAGAUGAGCGCACAGGCAAAGGUUCUCUGGACAGGGCAGUGGACUUUUGGGACAUUCUUACGCUCCACAGGGAGAGGAGCGGAUUGCAGAGCAUGUGUCCGGAGGAUGACUGCUGAGCUGGAAGCAAUUCAGAUUAUGAGGUGUCUUCACUAGAUAUGUUGCCGCACUAAAUCACGGUAAGGAGGUACAUUUUACUGCCUUACUAAAUAUAUUGCAACAAAAUUAUUUACAAGACAGCAAAAUCUCUCAUUUUAAGAGUAGGAGCACACUUUAAGAUUGUAAGAUAGCCUCUGGAAGGAACAUUUAAUGAGAAAUACAAAGGACGCUUGGAGGAGGUAAUUCACAGUCAUGCUUCUCAUUGUUCUCAGUGUUUCGGGUCAUGAACUUAAGCUAGUGCUCCCACUAGCUAUAUAUUUUCUUUACUUUUCACUAGAAUAAAAAUAAAAUAGCUCUUCCUGAUAAGAAAUUUAUUGCUGGUAUUCCCUAAAGCCUCCUUCUCAGUUCAGUGCUAAUUUUUGCUAUUUCCCGAAUAGCCACGACGUUGUUUAUUCUGUAGCAUGCUUAUUGCUUCAUUCCACCAGUAGAUAAUACUUGCUGAUGGUCAAAAUGUUUUAGAAUUGACCAAAAUAUAAUCAUGCCACAGGAAUGAAAUCAACAAUUUUAGGCAGUUAAUGAAGUGCUUAGAUUUUUGUCUUCAUAGUUGAGCCAGGAAUCAAUUAUGACACAAGACAGAUUUUAAGAUAAGAGAAAAUGAACACGAAUCUAAACAGCAUCAGAAAGUCAGUAUAUAAAAUUUAACAAUGUUGUCAACUUUCAAGAGAGCCUUAGUUAUACUGUUUCAUUGCAAAUUUUGCUAAAGAAAACCAUCAGGUUCAUGUAAGAAGUGUCUAUUUACUAUCAAAUACUUAAUCUAUAAUCUCUGUACUAAAUAUUGACUAGCAC